UACAGAGGUCUCAAGCGUUGUUCGGAUUCAUUGGGCGUAAAGGGUGCGUAGGCGGCGCGGUAAGUCGGGUGUGAAAGCCCGAGGCUCAACCUCGGAACUGCCUUCGAUACUGCGGGUCUCGAGUCCGGGAGAGGUGAGUGGAAUUCCUAGUGUAGAGGUGAAAUUCGUAGAUAUUAGGAAGAACACCAGUGGCGAAGGCGGCUCACUGGCCCGGUACUGGACGCUGAGGCGCGAAAGCGUGGGGAGCAAACAGGAUAGAUACCCCGUG
rnacentral:rRNA from 1 species